GUGGCCAAACAAAACGUGGAGUCUGGAAGACAUGCCGCCAGGGACACCGAGCCAUAGGGCUCAAAUCGGAGUUCAAACAAAAUAAAAUAAGACAAGGCA